GUGGGGGUGGAGCUUAGACAGAAUACCAACAUCUAUGUUCCAGUGGCUCUCUGCUUCAGAGAGGUUCCCUUUGCCUUUUCUUUUACUCGGAACUCCUCCACUUUAUUUCCACCUCCACCCGAGGAAAUAGUGUGCUUCAUUCACACAGACAGUCUGGAACUCUUGCCAAUUUGGGCUUUUUAGGCCAAAAAAUGAUGUAAACAGAGAGCAUGACUACUUGCUUAAAAAUGGAGUCUUUGCAGACCGCUCAAUUCCUGUACCUAUUGCUCAGGAAACAUUAUAGAAGAGGAGUGUUAAGUCUGUAAGAAGCUCAGGAUCAUACAGCUUUUGUAGAAUUGCGUCUCCCAGCAAUGUCAGAAGCUACGCCAAAAAGUCUCACCAACAUAACUGGCUAAACCUGAGCCGAACGAAGCCAAUACCAAACAUGACAAAGUGGAGGUAUGUGGUUCCCAUCUGUAAUGCCUACACCGAGUAAAUGAGGCAGGAGGAAGUGCGAACUGGACAUUUGAGCUAUAUGGGUUCUAAGGAUUCAGAGUGAGUCCCCGUUGUAAGAAAACCAAAACUCAGUAAAAAAUGGAAAGACCUAUGAGGGGUUCUCAUGGAGCCUGGAGUUCAUCAAUUCAACUGAUCUCUACGUGUACGCUAGAAUUGCAGGCAUGCUACAUGACCACUGAACGUCUAUGUGGGUAUCGGGAUCUAAAUUCUGGUGGUUGGACUGGCACAGCAAUUGCUUUGCCCACUGAUCUAUCGUCCCACACUUAAAAAAUCUGGAGAGAUAAUGUAGCACUUCUUUCAUAAAAUUCAAUUCUGUAAAAAAGUAUCAUGCCUAUUAUUUAUUUAUUGUUACUUUUGAGAAUGUGUCCUACUGAUCUCUGUCUGGAUUUGAAAUUUUGAUCCUCCCCUUUUCAUCUUUCUAGGGCAAGGAUCAUAGAGCUCUGUAGGAUAUCGUACAUGUAAAGAUGGGUACACGAUAGAAUGAGGUCUGUUAUUGGAUGAUAAGGAAGGAUGGGCGGGAGAAAAGUUUUAGAGAGAGGAAGAGCCUGGAGCAAGGCGGAGAAGCAUCAGGGACAACAUGGAGGCUGAUGUUAAGAUUCCUCUCUGCACAUUCACUUUCUUAAGGGAUGGACGUGUACAGGGCUUUGUAUGCUUAGGUGGGCAAUUUUAUCUUAUCAAUUGGAUCAGAGGUUAUUGUGUUGUGUGUUCUUUCAUGUGGCGAUUUAAGUUUAAGAGAGUGUGUGGCGGCCGAAAACACUAGGCCACUACAGAAUUGGGAUGUGUAUGUCUGGCAUGGUGGCAACCUGCCUUGGGAACUAGAUGGGUAGAGAGAUUGCUGCCAGGCUCAGAGAGAAGUCAUCAGCAGUGUGAUAUGGGAUAGAGCAACAUGGGUGAGAGGGUUUGCUGACCGAGAUGAAGAUAUCUACCAGGUAUCUUGGGGUACUACUGUGCCAGAUAUAGUGGGGGGAGGGUGGCUUUUUUUUUAUUUUUAUAAUUUUACAGCAACAGAGCUCUGUUAACACAUCCUGCUCAUCAUUAUUUGAAGUUUAAAUUUUAAUUCAUUAAAAUACUUACUUUUAAUUACUUAAAAUACUUACUUAUAAUUACCUAUUCAUUACAGGGUGGAAAGAAUAGGUAAUUAUAAUUAGGAAAAACCUAUAGUGAUAGAGAUACAGUAUGUGUGGACAGGAG